rnacentral:rRNA from 1 species
CCUACGGGAGGCAGCAGUGGGGAAUAUUGCACAAUGGGGGAAACCCUGAUGCAGCGACGCCGCGUGAGUGAAGAAGUAUUUCGGUAUGUAAAGCUCUAUUAGCAGGGAAGAUAAUGAUUGUACGUGUGUAAGAAGCCCCGGCUAACUACGUGCCAGCAACGGCGGUAAUACGUGGGGGGCAAGCGUUAUCUGGAUUUACUGGGGGUAAAGGGAGCGUAGACGGCAUGGCAAGUCUGAAGUGAAAGCCCGGGGCUCAACCGCGGGACUGCUUUGGAAACUGGUAAGCUGGAGUGCAGGAGAGGUAAGUGGAAUUCCUAGUGUAGCGGUGAAAUGCGUAGAUAUUAGGAAGAACACCAGUGGCGAAGGCGGCUUACUGGACUGUAACUGACGUUGAGGCACGAAAGCGUGGGGAGCAAACAGGAUUAGAUACCCUUGUAGUC